rfam:Oryctolagus cuniculus cont2.30940, whole genome shotgun sequence.
CCCAGCGCGGGGCUAUAAUCUCUGAAACCGAGCCCCAGACCCAGCCAAUCACUUAGCUCCUCAUAACAAGUCUAACUGGCUCUGGGAAGCUGGAAGGGCUGCGCUGGAACACAUAGAUGAGAUAUUCCACACAAUAAUCUGCUUAUCUGGAAUCGCUUUGCCUGAAGAGGCCAGAGGAAAAAGCACAGCUUCAUUGUCUCGGGGCAAGAGGUGCAGGUGAUCUGGGAUCAACGCGGCCGCACCUGGAGCAG